AAGAUUCUCAAAUUUCUACCGUGACCCAGAGAUCCCAGACUUUCCCAAACCAAAUAUCGGGCCUUUUCGCAAUGAGAAUCCAGCACCCUGUACCUGCCAAAACACUAAUCCAGCAAACAGGUUUGUGUCAAAAGACGAGAUGGAUGACCUGCAGAAACGCCGGGCAGAAGAGUUCAGACAAGACCAGAUCAGAUCAGGUAAAGAAAAUGAUGUUCUUCUUCUCGUCCCGGCCAACACCCCGCUCCAGUAUCCGAUGAGAGGAUUCAGAGUAACUCCCAUGAAUAAAACACUCAUUCCCGGU